rnacentral:rRNA from 1 species
UACGUAGGGGGCAAGCGUUGUCCGGAUUUAUUGGGCGUAAAGAGCGUGUAGGCGGCCAGACAGGUCCGUUGUGAAAACUCGAGGCUCAACCUCGAGAUGUCGAUGGAAACCGUCUGGCUAGAGUCCGGAAGAGGAGUGUGGAAUUCCUGGUGUAGCGGUGGAAAUGCGCAGAUAUCAGGAAGAACACCUAUGGCGAAGGCAGCACUCUGGGACGGUACUGACGGCUGAGACGCGAAAGCGUGGGGAGCGAACAGGAU